GGAUGUGAGGGCGAUCUGGCUGCGACAUCUGUCACCCCAUUGAUUGCCAGGGUUGAUUCGGCUGAUCUGGCUGGCUAGGUGGGUGUCCCCUUCCUCCCUCACCGCUCCAUGUGCUUCCGUCCCGAAGCUGCGCGCUCGGUGGAAAAGGACGACCAUCCCCGGUAGAGGAGGACCGUUCUUCUGUCAAGGGUAUACGAGUAGCUGCGCUCCUCUGCUAGAGCCUCCAAACAAGCUCUCAAAUACAUAUUUUAUUCAAAGCAAUUGUAUUCAUGUGCUUUGGGUCUACUAAUCACAGCUUUAAUGCCUGAAAAGACAUUUGUAAGUAGGCGGCCUAUAAUUC
rnacentral:snRNA from 1 species